UCUGAAGGUGCUACCCUUAGCAUAUUUAUCCCAUUUGACUUUGGAAACUAUGCAGGGUCAGACCGGGUUAGCACUUGCAUGGGACACCACCAAGGAACUGCAGUGAUCUCCAGAU
ensembl:rRNA 5S_rRNA 5S ribosomal RNA